CCUCACCCAUGUGUACCUGGAAGGGCAGCCCCUGCAUGCCUGGUCAGUCAGACCAAUGCAGGCUGUUAUGCUGGACAUUAGCAAGACAAAAUCUGCAAAGACUCCCAGAGAGAGGGAAAGUCAGUUCAACAUGCCCAGGCAGAGAAAUUCAUGGAAAGGACUCUGACACUUGCUCUAGAAUACAGUUUUCUGAUAGACCUUCAGAUCAUAAAACUGAAUCAGAACUAAAACCACCUUUGUUCCUGACCCCUAAAAACUAAAGCUGGACAACUAGAUUUAAACUUAAGAGACAUCACCACAAUAACAUGCCUGUUGCUAUGUAAGCCACUCAGAAGGAUACCUGAACACUCAAUGACAUCAUCAGAAACACUUCAAACAGCAAAAGAUGCUCCGACUCUGACAUCUAAAAAUCUUCUUGACUGGCUGCCCCCUAGGCUCAGGAACUGGAGGAGGCUCAGCACAGAGCACAGAAGGACAGCAGUGCUUGUGAGCCUUUCUGGGGCAUAAGCUCUUCUCACGGAGGGAAGGUCAGAGCAAGCAGCAGACGCCAUGGAGACCCCUUCAGCCACCACCCACAGAGGGCACAUCCUACAUGGGUUCCUGCUGGCAGUCUCAUUCUUAACCUUCUGGAACCUGCCCACCAGUGCCAAACCCAUUAUUGAAUCAGUGCCGACCAAUGCUAUUACAGGGAUGGAGGUUCUUCUCUUUGUCUACAAUCUGCCUGAGGAUCUUGCAGGCUGUGCCUGGUACAAAGGGGACAAAGUAGAUCCCAAACUUGAAAUUGCAUCAUUUGGAAUAAAUACAUCAAAAAUUACCCCAGGGCCUGCAUACACCAGUCAACACAAAUUAUACCCUGAUGGAUCCCUGCUGUUCCGGAACGUCAUCCCAGAGAACACAGGAUACUACACCCUACUAGUCACGAGGAAGAACUCCCUAGUUGAUACAGCAAUUGGAGAGCUCCACAUAUACUAGUCAGUGUCAAAGCCCUCCAUCCAAGUCAGCUUAGGACAUAAAGACCCCAAUCAAAGAAAAUAAGGACCCCGUGGCCCUGACCUGCCUCACAAAUGACACCAGGAUCUCCAUCCAGUGGUUCUUCAAUGACCAGAGUCUGUGACUGACCGAGAGGAUGAAGCUGUCCCCCGACAACAGCACCCUCACCAUAGACACCCUCAGGAGGGAGGAUGCCGAGGAUUAUCAAUGUGAAGUCUCCAACACAGUCAGUUCCAGUAAAAGUGACCUCCUCAGGCUGGAUGUAAGAUAUGAGUCUGGCCCUCUGGUUCUCUUCCCCUCAUCUAUGUUAUUAAACUCUGAAUGAUUUUUUUCUUAUCUGUAAAACAAUGGUUCUGAGGCACUUUUCAAGUAGAGUUGUUGUAGUAGUCAAUGAAAAGAUGGAAAUUCCUUAGAAGACUCUCAUUGAAUCAAUAAAUGCUCAGCAAUGUGAA